AUUUAAUAUAAGUCUUGGUAAAUUUAAAGAUGGUUCGACUCGCAACUUAUCAACAAAAUUUCGUGGGUAAACAUUUUACAAAAAAGGAAGCUUGCGCUGAAAACUUUGUUGCUGCAUGCAUGGUGAACUUUCUUGCUUAUAGAUCGAAAGCUUUUUCGAAAGCGAUAAACGUGGUGUUGUCACCGAACAAAUCAAUUAUAUUGGUCGCCAUCCAAACCGACAAAGAAUGAACUGUGUAUAUAGAAUUGAAUCCACUUUUAUUUCCAAGUACUGCUUUUGGUGAUCAACAUUGUUCUUUGUAUAAAGUCAGUUUUAUUAACAUAUUAUCGUGUUUUCCCAGGAAGUACAGUGCGGAACUACAAAGACAACGAACUCGUGGUUUAAACAUAUAGCUGGCUAACGCUUUCACUGCAUCAGUUCCCACAAUCAGCAGCAGAAUGUCGUGGCUACUUUAUCGCUGGUUACUCUUGUAUGGUUUAACAUUAUUUGUGUUUAAAGGUAGGUAUUUUAUAGUAAUAUAGCAAACACAAUGUUG